GACGAACGCUGGCGGCGUGCUUAACACAUGCAAGUCUACGAGAACGAGGUAGCAAUAUCUUUAGUAAAGUGGCGUACGGGUGCGUAACACGUAAGCAAUCUACCUUUGGGUCUGGAAUAACUUCGAGAAAUCGAGGCUAAUACCGGAUAAUGCAGCGGCACCGCAUGGUGAUGUUGUUAAAGUUUAUGUAAUGCCUAUAGAUGAGCUUGCGUCUGAUUAGGUAGUUGGCGGGGUAAUGGCCCACCAAGCCAUCGAUCAGUAGCUGGUCUGAGAGGAUGAUCAGCCACACUGGAACUGAGACACGGUCCAGACUCCUACGGGAGGCAGCAGUAAGGAAUAUUGCUCAAUGGCCGAAAGGCUGAAGCAGCAACGCCGCGUGGAGGAUGAAAUACUUUUGUAUGUAAACUCCUGUAAGAAGGGAAAAUAUUCCGAUUUAUCGGGAUUGAUUGUACCUUCAGAGUAAGCACCGGCUAACUACGUGCC
rnacentral:rRNA from 1 species